UAUUGCUAUAUAUGGAAACUUAAAUUUAUUUCAAAGUACCUCUGUUGCAAUAUAUGGAAAAUUAAUUUUACUUCAUAGUAGACGGCUGUGACGAAAAGACAGUUGUUCAUAAAAAAUAACACAAACAAUUAAAACAACUAGAAUACAAAAACUAUGCGAUUACAACCAUCAAAACAAUUUUGAACAUGUACUGCAUCAUCCUACGAGCGUCUUGGUCGGUCUUAAUAUCCACCCAUUCACGCACUUCUCCGCUUUGGUUGAACGUGGACACAAGCCAUUGUAUUCUUCUAAUCCGUUCACCCUCUCCAAUUUCUCCCUCUAACCAACUAUACAAUGUCUGAUUAAGACGUUCAAACGUAUCUGUGUUCCAAAGUCGAACCUG
rnacentral:lncRNA from 1 species